CCUACGGGAGGCAGCAGUGAGGAAUAUUGGUCAAUGGGCGAGAGCCUGAACCAGCCAAGUCGCGUGAAGGAUGACGGCCCUACGGGUUGUAAACUUCUUUUGUCAGGGAGCAAUUGAGUCCACGUGUUGGCUUAGCGAGAGUACCUGAAGAAAAAGCAUCGGCUAACUUCGUGCCAGCAGCCGCGGUAAUACGGGGGAUGCGAGCGUUAUCGGGAUUUAUUGGGUUUAAAGGGUGUGUAGGCGGAAUAUCCAAUCAGCGGUAAAAAUUCGGGGCUCAACCCCGUCGGGCCGGUGAAACUGAUGUUCUGGAGUGGGCGAGAGGUAUGCGGAAUGCGUGGUGUAGCGGUGAAAUGCAUAGAUAUCACGAAGAACUCC
rnacentral:rRNA from 1 species